rnacentral:rRNA from 1 species
UACGUAGGGGGCAAGCGUUGUCCGGAAUCAUUGGGCGUAAAGCGCGUGUAGGCGGCUCGGUAAGUCUGCUGUGAAAGUCCAGGGCUCAACCCUGGGAUGCCGGUGGAUACUGUCGAGCUCGAGUCCGGAAGAGGCGGAGUGGAAUUCCUGGUGUAGCGGUGAAAUGCGCAGAUAUCAGGCAGGAACACCAACGGCGAAGGCAGCACUCUGGGCCGGUACUGACGCCUGAGGAGCGAAAGCUAGGGAGCAACGG